AGAGUUUGAUCAUGGCUCAGAUUGAACGCUGGCGGCAGGCCUAACACAUGCAAGUCGAACGGUAACAGGAAGCAGCUUGCUGCUUCGCUGACGAGUGGCGGACGGGUGAGUAAUGUCUGGGAAACUGCCUGAUGGAGGGGGAUAACUACUGGAAACGGUGGCUAAUACCGCAUAACGUCGCAAGACCAAAGAGGGGGACCUUCGGGCCUCUUGCCAUCAGAUGUGCCCAGAUGGGAUUAGCUUGUUGGUGAGGUAACGGCUCACCAAGGCGACGAUCCCUAGCUGGUCUGAGAGGAUGACCAGCCACACUGGAACUGAGACACGGUCCAGACUCCUACGGGAGGCAGCAGUGGGGAAUAUUGCACAAUGGGCGCAAGCCUGAUGCAGCCAUGCCGCGUGUAUGAAGAAGGCCUUCGGGUUGUAAAGUACUUUCAGCGGGGAGGAAGGUGUUGUGGUUAAUAACCACAGCAAUUGACGUUACCCGCAGAAGAAGCACCGGCUAACUCCGUGCCAGCAGCCGCGGUAAUACGGAGGGUGCAAGCGUUAAUCGGAAUUACUGGGCGUAAAGCGCACGCAGGCGGUCUGUCAAGUCGGAUGUGAAAUCCCCGGGCUCAACCUGGGAACUGCAUUCGAAACUGGCAGGCUUGAGUCUUGUAGAGGGGGGUAGAAUUCCAGGUGUAGCGGUGAAAUGCGUAGAGAUCUGGAGGAAUACCGGUGGCGAAGGCGGCCCCCUGGACAAAGACUGACGCUCAGGUGCGAAAGCGUGGGGAGCAAACAGGAUUAGAUACCCUGGUAGUCCACGCCGUAAACGAUGUCUACUUGGAGGUUGUGCCCUUGAGGCGUGGCUUCCGGAGCUAACGCGUUAAGUAGACCGCCUGGGGAGUACGGCCGCAAGGUUAAAACUCAAAUGAAUUGACGGGGGCCCGCACAAGCGGUGGAGCAUGUGGUUUAAUUCGAUGCAACGCGAAGAACCUUACCUGGUCUUGACAUCCACAGAACUUUCCAGAGAUGGAUUGGUGCCUUCGGGAACUGUGAGACAGGUGCUGCAUGGCUGUCGUCAGCUCGUGUUGUGAAAUGUUGGGUUAAGUCCCGCAACGAGCGCAACCCUUAUCCUUUGUUGCCAGCGGUUAGGCCGGGAACUCAAAGGAGACUGCCAGUGAUAAACUGGAGGAAGGUGGGGAUGACGUCAAGUCAUCAUGGCCCUUACGACCAGGGCUACACACGUGCUACAAUGGCGCAUACAAAGAGAAGCGACCUCGCGAGAGCAAGCGGACCUCAUAAAGUGCGUCGUAGUCCGGAUUGGAGUCUGCAACUCGACUCCAUGAAGUCGGAAUCGCUAGUAAUCGUGGAUCAGAAUGCCACGGUGAAUACGUUCCCGGGCCUUGUACACACCGCCCGUCACACCAUGGGAGUGGGUUGCAAAAGAAGUAGGUAGCUUAACCUUCGGGAGGGCGCUUACCACUUUGUGAUUCAUGACUGGGGUGAAGUCGUAACAAGGUAACCGUAGGGGAACCUGCGGUUG
rnacentral:rRNA from 4 species